ensembl:lncRNA
GUUUAUAGCGACUGUGUGUUAGCGUGUUUAUAGCGCGCGUGUUAGCGUGUUUAUAGCGAGUGUGUGUUAGCGUGUUUAUAGCGAGCGUGUGUUAGCGUGUUUAUAGCGAGCGUGUGUUAGCGUGUGUUAGCGUGUUUAUAGCGAGUGUGUGUUAGCGUGUUUAUAGCGAACGUGUGUUAGCGUGUUUAUAGCGAGCGUGUGUUAGCGUGUUUAUAGCGAGCGUGUGUUAGCGUGUUUAUAGCGAGCGUGUGUUAGCGUGUUUAUAGCGACUGUGUGUUAGCGUGUUUAUAGCAAGCGUGUGUUAGCGUGUUUAUAGCGAGCAUGUGUUAGCGUGUGUUAGCGUGUUUAUAGCGACUGUGUGUUAGCGUGUUUAUAGCGAGCGUGUGUUAGCGUGUUUAUAGCGAGCGUGUGUUAGCGUGUUUAUAGCGACUGUGUGUUAGCGUGUUUAUAGCGAGCGUGUGUUAGCGUGUUUAUAGCGAGCGUGUGUUAGCGUGUUUAUAGCGAGCGUGUUAGCGUCGAACGUGUGUUAGCGUGUUUAUAGCGAGCGUGUGUUAGCGUGUUUAUAGCGAGCGUGUGUUAGCGUGUGUUAGCGUGUGUUAGCGUGUUUAUAGCAAGCGUGUGUUUGCGUGUUUAUAGCGAGCAUGUGUUAGCGUGUGUUAGCGUGUUUAUAGCGACUGUGUGUUAGCGUGUUUAUAGCGAGCGUGUGUUAGCGUGUUUAUAGCGAGCGUGUGUUAGCGUGUGUUAGCGUGUGUUAGCGUGUUUAUAGCGAGCGUGUGUUAGCGUGUUUAUAGCGAGCAUGUGUUAGCGUGUGUUAGCGUGUUUAUAGCGAACGUGUGUUAGCGUGUUUAUAGCGAGCGUGUGUAAUGAGUGUCCAGUUCCACUGAGCUUGAGAGGAACCGAAGCUGCUGAUUGGCCGGUUGCUUUAACAUUCAUUAUCUAUCUAUCUGUCUGUAUAUCUACACUAUAUGGCUAAAAGUAUGUGCACCCCUGAGCAUCACACCCACAUCAGGUUCUUCCCCAAACUGUUACUGAGUCUGAAGCACACAAUUGUAUAGAGUGUCUCUGUACGCUGUAGCGUUAUUAUUAUUCACUGGAACUCAGAGGACCAAACACUGUUCCAGCACGACAAUGAUGAACUGGAACUGGAGUCUCCUCGACAUCCCAACAUCAGCACCUGACCUCAACCUCGCUAAUGCUCUUGUACCUGAACGAACACACAUCCCCACAGCCACGCCCCAAAAGCCUUCCCAGAAGAGAGAGUGGAGCGCAUUAUAACAGUAAAGGGGGAAUUAAACUGGAACGGGACGUUCAACAAGCACAUAUGGGUGUGAUGGUCAGGGGCGCACAAAUUUGUUCAACAGUUCAUUUGUUGGUUUAGCAGUACAGUGUACCGUGUAUGUUCUGGUGGUUUUGUUCCUUUAGACAUUGUGCACUUCCCCUAAUCCCCUGAGUGGGCAGGAGCUGUCAGGAGACGUUCCCUAUUCCCUAAUAGAAUUUACUGCCAAGUGCAAUUUAAUUUUCUCUCUGGGUUUACUCUCUUCCUCCUCUCUUGUUUUCUGAGGAAAAAGGGAGCAUUAUUCUGUUCUCCCUCUGUCUGUCUCUGUGGAGGGAUGUCUCUCUGUCUCUCUCCCUCUGUCUCUCUAUCUCUCUGUGUGUGAUGGACAGACCUGCUGUGUUCAUGGAGUGAGGAACAUCUGACUCGUUCUGCGGCUCACCUGAGGACACAGGUAACUCCAAUAAAAAGGGUGAUAAACUCCGUCUGUCCUUGUCUCCGGGGUGGAACUUUAUAUUGUGUACCUUUGGUGUGUAGCUUAUCUUUCACCUCUACACGUGGAUAUGGUGUCCUUCCAAAGAAAAAGUUUUUUGUCGUAUUAAAAACAACAACAACAACGAUGUUACAUCACAGCGCGAUAUGUGACGUUCAGGUAAAAAGAGAGAGAGAGAGAGAGAGAGAGAGAGAGAGAGAGAGAGAGAAGAUGAAGAUGAGCAAUUAAAAAGAAGGACAAGGUGGACAAGAAGAGGUUGAUGAUGCUGAUGAUGAUACUGCUGAUGAUGAUGAUGAUGGUGAUGAUGAUGAUCAUGGUGGUGGUGGUGGUGGUGUUUGUGGUGUUUUUUUUUUUAUCCCAGUGCCUUGUUCCUCUUGUUAUCCUUAAAGGAAAUGGGAAGUGAAGCUUGAGUUCAUCUCACCUGAACUCAGAGCUCCACUGGGAUUUUCUACUGCAUCAGUGGGUGAAAUGAGCUCUGUCACACACACACACACACACACACACACACACACACACACACACACACACACACACACACACACACACACACUCUCUAUCACACACACACACACACACUCUCAGACUCAGGUUCACAGGUUGGACUUUGAGCAUCUUCCCAGUGGAUGGUAUUGUUAUAAGAUCUUUUUCAGUUAAUGCAUUUGCUGCAGUUCUUCAAUAAAUGUCAUCAAAGAACCAAA